UGCUGCACCAACAAGUCCUUCAUCCGUUGCUGCCAUAAGGUGAAGUUUUUCUUACCUUCGAACUUCUCAAACUCCAUCUUGAAACUACUUGAAGCCAUUGCACCCUCCAAGCAAACAGCCAGCCCAACACCCUUUUGCAAUACCACACCUCACACCCCUCCACAUUCCUCCAACCCUUGAAUCAAAAACAACCCUCCACC
rnacentral:lncRNA from 1 species